rnacentral:rRNA from 1 species
GUCAGCAGCCAUAUCACCCUGCAGCCCAAGACUGGUUGCCCACUGAAGCUAAGCAGGGUUGAGCCUGGUCAGUACCUGGAUGGGAGACCUCCUGAGAAAACUAGGUUGCUGCUGGAA